UACAGAGGUCUCAAGCGUUGUUCGGAAUCACUGGGCGUAAAGGGUGCGUAGGCGGCGGAGUAAGUCGGAUGUGAAAUUUGGAGGCUCAACCUCCAACUUGCAUCUGAUACUGCUUCGCUAGAGACCUGGAGAGGAGUUUGGAAUUCUCGGUGUAGCAGUGAAAUGCGUAGAUUUCGAGAAGAACGCUCGCAGCGAAAAGCGAAACUCUGGACAGCGUCUGACGCUGAAGGCACGAAGGCUAGGGGGAAGGCAAAAGCGGGGAUUAAGAG
rnacentral:rRNA from 1 species